GGACACUUGGACAUCCACUAAGUAAGGCGUGGCCAGACACCCGCCUUGAACAAGCACAGUGCGAGGGAACAUCCAUGGUGUUAAAAGCUGAUACGAUUAUCCAAGAUUCACCGGAAUGGAAACCAUUCUACAACCGGGGAAGAGCGCAGUCCAGUUUGAUUUUACUUCAUGCUGACCGAAGCUUCAAUUGCGGAAACCGAGGAAGUAUACAGCAAAUUCCGAUGGCUAAUGAUCGAAAUCCAACUAAGAAACUGCAUUUGAGAACCUUUAUCGAAAAUCCUGAUGUUCCACGCUUGCCCGCCGGAGUCCUUUUCGAAAAAUUUGGCAACUGUGGCACGCGGUGCUGGUUUGUUGAUCAAGACGGUCAAAAACUUCGGCAUCAUGCGUAACAUGCCGUGGAUUUGUGCUUGGUGCCGUUUCCAAUCGAAGAACAAUCACCGUGACCGUCACCAAGGACGAGUGGUGAAUUAUUAUGGCCAACGCAAGGCUGUGUUGCUCAAAAGGGGGACCGACACUCAACGGUUUUCAGUUACGAGCUAACGACGCUGCCAUCAGCGAUUUCAAGGGGCCAACAAAUAAUCAUCGAAGGUGCAUGUGCAAGGACAUUUGGUGAUGGUAACAUUUUCAUUGAGCUGUAUGCUUCAGAUGAGUGCAUAAGCGGUGGUAAGCGAACACCCAUUCGUUUUAAGACGCUCUCAGAGGCCGGAUACCUUCACUUACCACCAGAUGUCGAUCGGAAAAAUGUAGUUAUUAACCACCUUUAAUCUAAUGGAGAAAGGAGACUAGCUGUUUCUGAGCAACAAUAAGUUCAACAUCGAGCCGAAGAUUCCAUACCUGCCAGAGUAGUGAGAUUGGCAGCAGUACAUCCAAUGAAUUUUCUGGAUAUAUCCCAAGAGUUAAACUACGGAACAGGAUUUAGCAGCCGACUCUAUGCAUAAGCUGCAUAAGCGUUCUAAAUGAUACAUCGCAAGCGCUAAUGAUAAGUGCAGAUAACAAUCGUACGGGUGCUGAAAAUAAGCUAUCCAGAUAUGGAACUACACCGCAACACGGGUGAUAGACUACACCACAUUUGUAUAAAAUCUGAUGAUUGCUCGACGAUUGCUUGAUUCUAUGCUAGCCAACACACGAUACAAAAAAAUUCGCGCGAACACAAACGAUUGCUGACGAAAACAGUACCAGCAAAAAAAAACACCUCCACCCCGGCUGGAGCUGAGUAAAUCGCCUGAAGUUUGUACAAACAGCACCAUACACCAUGCCAGAAGCGGGCCAUAGACAACAUAAAUGGCGUGUGCAAAUUCGAUGAUUUCAACACGAUGGUUUGAUGUAUGCUCGCCCACACACGAUACAAACGUAUUUCGCGCGGACACAAACGAUGGCUGGCGAUAACAGCAACAGCAUAAGCAACAACAAAAAACCACCUCCACCCCGGCUGGGGCUGAGUAAAUUGCCUGAAUUUUGUACAAACAGCACCAUACACCAUGGCACAGAGGGUGGUUUGUACAACAUAUUUCGAUCCGGACCGAUUUUAUUCAAACCGUUUGUGUGCUAAAUCAAGCAGUGCCAUACCUCCUGCUAGUCAACUAGCGGUCCUAAUAAAUCACU